rnacentral:rRNA from 2 species
AAAUUGAAGAGUUUGAUCAUGGCUCAGAUUGAACGCUGGCGGCAGGCCUAACACAUGCAAGUCGAACGGUAACAGGAAGCAGCUUGCUGCUUUGCUGACGAGUGGCGGACGGGUGAGUAAUGUCUGGGAAACUGCCUGAUGGAGGGGGAUAACUACUGGAAACGGUGGCUAAUACCGCAUAACGUCGCAAGACCAAAGAGGGGGACCUUCGGGCCUCUUGCCAUCAGAUGUGCCCAGAUGGGAUUAGCUUGUUGGUGAGGUAACGGCUCACCAAGGCGACGAUCCCUAGCUGGUCUGAGAGGAUGACCAGCCACACUGGAACUGAGACACGGUCCAGACUCCUACGGGAGGCAGCAGUGGGGAAUAUUGCACAAUGGGCGCAAGCCUGAUGCAGCCAUGCCGCGUGUAUGAAGAAGGCCUUCGGGUUGUAAAGUACUUUCAGCGGGGAGGAAGGUGUUGCGGUUAAUAACCGCAGCAAUUGACGUUACCCGCAGAAGAAGCACCGGCUAACUCCGUGCCAGCAGCCGCGGUAAUACGGAGGGUGCAAGCGUUAAUCGGAAUUACUGGGCGUAAAGCGCACGCAGGCGGUCUGUCAAGUCGGAUGUGAAAUCCCCGGGCUCAACCUGGGAACUGCAUUCGAAACUGGCAGGCUUGAGUCUUGUAGAGGGGGGUAGAAUUCCAGGUGUAGCGGUGAAAUGCGUAGAGAUCUGGAGGAAUACCGGUGGCGAAGGCGGCCCCCUGGACAAAGACUGACGCUCAGGUGCGAAAGCGUGGGGAGCAAACAGGAUUAGAUACCCUGGUAGUCCACGCCGUAAACGAUGUCUACUUGGAGGUUGUGCCCUUGAGGCGUGGCUUCCGGAGCUAACGCGUUAAGUAGACCGCCUGGGGAGUACGGCCGCAAGGUUAAAACUCAAAUGAAUUGACGGGGGCCCGCACAAGCGGUGGAGCAUGUGGUUUAAUUCGAUGCAACGCGAAGAACCUUACCUGGUCUUGACAUCCACAGAACUUUCCAGAGAUGGAUUGGUGCCUUCGGGAACUGUGAGACAGGUGCUGCAUGGCUGUCGUCAGCUCGUGUUGUGAAAUGUUGGGUUAAGUCCCGCAACGAGCGCAAC